rnacentral:rRNA from 1 species
GAUGAACGCUGGCGGCGUGCCUAAUACAUGCAAGUCGAGCGAACGGACGAGAAGCUUGCUUUUCUGAUGUUAGCGGCGGACGGGUGAGUAACACGUGGAUAACCUACCUAUAAGACUGGGAUAACUUCGGGAACCGGAGCUAAUACCGGAUAAUAUUUUGAACCGCAUGGUUCAAAAGUGAAAGACGGUCUUGCUGUCACUUAUAGAUGGAUCCGCGCUGCAUUAGCUAGUUGGUAAGGUAACGGCUUACCAAGGCAACGAUGCAUAGCCGACCUGAGAGGGUGAUCGGCCACACUGGAACUGAGACACGGUCCAGACUCCUACGGGAGGCAGCAGAAGGGAAUCUUCCGCAAUGGGCGAAAGCCUGACGGAGCAACGCCUCGUGAGUGAUGAAGGUCUUCGGAUCGUAAAACUCUGUUAUUAGGGAAGAACAUAUGUGUAAGUAACUGUGCACAUCUUGACGGUACCUAAUCAGAAAGCCACGGCUAACUACGUG